UGCCAGCCGCCGCGGUAAUACGGAGGGUGCAAGCGUUGUUCGGAAUUACUGGGCGUAAAGCGCACGUAGGCGGUCUUGUAAGUCGGAUGUGAAAGCCCUUGGCUUAACCGAGGAAGUGCAUUCGAAACUGCAAGACUUGAAUAUGGGAGAGGAUAGCGGAAUUCCCGGUGUAGAGGUGAAAUUCGUAGAUAUCGGGAGGAACACCAGUGGCGAAGGCGGCUGUCUGGACCAAUAUUGACGCUGAGGUGCGAAAGCGUGGGGAGCAAACAGGAUUAGAUA
rnacentral:rRNA from 1 species